rnacentral:rRNA from 1 species
UUUUAUUUUUCUAACGGCAUGUGCACGCCCUUCGUCACUUUCUUACCACCUGUGCACCUCAAUUGUAGACUCUUGGACUGGAUGUCUGACACUCUCGGGUCCCUUUGGGGCUUGGUCAUAGACGAUGUCUGUCCCUUGUCUAUGUUUCUCAUACACACUCCUUGAAUGUAUCAGAAUGUCUAUCAUGGGUCUUUGUACCUAUAGAGAAAAGAAAAAAAAAAAAGUUAAUACAACUUUCAACAACGGAUCUCUUGGCUCUCGCAUCGAUGAAGAACGCAGCGAAAUGCGAUAAGUAAUGUGAAUUGCAGAAUUCAGUGAAUCAUCGAAUCUUUGAACGCACCUUGCACCCCUUGGUAUUCCGAGGGGUAUGCCUGUUUGAGUGUCAUUAAAUUCUCAACCUCGAGAAAAGCUUUGUCUUUUUCCUCGAGGCUUGGAUUGUGGGGGCUUGCGGGCUUCUAUUUCAGAGGUCGGCUCUCCUUAAAUGCAUUAGUGGAAACCAAUUUUUGGAUCCCCCUCCCCCUUUGGUGUGAUAGUUAUCUACGCCAGUCUGGUGGUGAAAUCCGUCUCUUGCUUUCUGCUUCUAACAGUCCAUUGGAUUGGACGAGCGCUCCU